CUUUAAUGAUCAUUCCGUCAAGUGACUGUUGGCUGUUUACCAUUUAUUUCCUUUACAAAUGAGAGUCUUUUGUUUGCUUGUUUCCUGUUAUGGAGUUCUUGCUCCACCAUUGCCUGUUGGAUGUGAUGGGAAAAACAGAACAGAGAACUUAUUUUUCAAGUUCUAAACCCUUAGCCCCCUGGAGAGAAAUUGACCUGAUGGAGAGAGUUAUGUUUAUCACCAGCUAUGCUGAUAUUGGAGUUGAUGUGACUGCAUUUCUCAGCCUGCCUUGCAGUUAGGAGUGGCCACAAAACUAAUUCGGACCAAAGGGAUGUGAGCAGAAACAAUGCGAAGCUCCCUCAGUUGAAGGCUACUAAGCAGUGAGUGCUUUCCCUCUGUGUUCCUUCUUUCCUCAUAUGCUGGCUGGGAGUAAACAUGGAGAGAGGCCCUGCAGGACGAUGAAGGUGCAAGAUGGACGAAGACUGAAUCACCAUGUGGAGAAAAGCCAAACAUAGGCCAGGAAAACUCAUUUUGUAUUAGUUAAUAAACUUGCUAUUUUGGAAUAAUUUUAUACUUAGAGAAAAGCUGUAGCAAGAGAGCUCCUGUAGAAUUCUAACUGCAAUGUAGUGAGAAAUAAACUUCUAUUUCUUGGA